GGGGCGUCUCCGAGCGGCGGGCCGAGGGAGGGCGCAGCAGCUGCUCCCUGAACACUUUCUGACCCAACAGUCCCCCAGCGCCGGACGCGCCGCGCCCUGGCGGCUCUAGGGACCCCCCCCGCGCCUGCACUUAGCCCCGCGCCCGAGUCCACAGACAAACGAAUUUAAAGGAGCAACCGAGGAGGCACCUGCGAAAGAAAGCCCACACACAGGUGAAUUUAAAGGAGCAGCCCUGGUGUCACCUAUCAGUAAAAGACUAUUUGGAGUUUUCCUCGUCUUACUGGAUGUCACUCUCGUCCUUGCCGACCUAAUUUUCACUGACAGCAAACUUUAUAUUCCUUUGGAGUAUCGUUCUAUUUCUCUAGCUAUUGCCUUAUUUUUUCUCAUGGAUGUUCUUCUUCGAGUAUUUGUAGAAGGGCCUUUGAGGGGAGGGACUGCACCUGAGUACAGCACCCAGGCGUCUUCUGCAGCCCACAGAAGGUUCAGCUUAGGGC